ACCAACUUUCACUUCUUUCAACUUGCUGCUUCAGAGAGAGCAGUCAUCAAUAUUUUUGUUACAUGAUGAGAUGGUGAAAUUCGUACGCAAGCUAUGUUCCAAGUUUAUGGUUCCAGCAGCUCUGCAGUGCCAUGAGGAGCCUUGUGAAAUUGCCUUUAAAGAAAAGGCAAACCAUUUACCAGGUUUCCCCAUCUCCUCCCAUACCAUGGGCCAGAGGAGCAUGACCUUCUGGGUGAGGAGUUUCUAAAUUAUCAGACCAUGCCAAUGAUAUCCCUGCAGGACUAAACUGAAAUGGAAAGCUUCUGGGCUGAAAUGGCAACCCGGAAGCAUAAGGUGACAGGAGCCAAAGAAUUCGAGAGGCUUGCUGCCGUCGCC